rnacentral:rRNA from 1 species
GGGACACGUGAAACCCUGUGGGAAGCAGGAGGGACCACCCUCCAAGGCUAAAUACUACCUAGUGACCGAUAGCGUAUAGUACCGUGAGGGAAAGGUGAAAAGAACCCCGGGAGGGGAGUGAAAUAGAACCUGAAACCCUGCACUUACAAGCUGUGGAAGCACAUUUCUUGUGUGACCGCGUACUUUUUGUAGAACGGGCCAACGAGUUACGUUAAGUAGCAAGGUUAAGCACUUAAGGUGCGGAGCCGUAGCGAAAGCGAGUUUUAACUGAGCGUUCAGUUACUUGACGUAGACCCGAAACCGGGCGACCUACCCAUGAGCAGGAUGAAGCGAAAGUAAAAUUUCGUGGAGGUCCGAACCCACGAGCGUUGAAAAGCUCGGGGAUGACUUGUGGGUAGCGGUGAAAUUCCAAUCGAGCCCGGAGAUAGCUGGUUCUCCCCGAAAUAGCUUUAGGGCUAGCCUCAAGGUGAGAGAUACGGAGGUAGAGCACUGAAUGUCCUAGGGGGUAUUGCACCUACCGAAGACUAUCAAACUCCGAAUGCCGUCAUCUUAUACUUGGGAGUCAGACUGUGGGUGAUAAGAUUCAUAGUCGAAAGGGCAACAGCCCAGAUCGUCAGCUAAGGUCCCUAAAUGUAAGUUAAGUGGUAAAGGAUGUGGGAUUGCACAGACAACCAGGAUGUUGGCUUAGAAGCAGCCACUCAUUCAAAGAGUGCGUAAUAGCUCACUGGUCGAGUGAUCCUGCGCCGAAGAUUUCCGGGGCUAAAACUUACUACCGAAGCUACGGCAUCAGUAAUGAUGGGUAGGGGAGCUUCCCAUACGGGUUGAAGCAUGACCGUAAGGACAUGUGGACAGUAUGGGAGUGAGAAUGUUGGCAUGAGUAGCGAGAUGUGGGUGAGAAUCCCACAGGCCGUAAACCCAAGGUUUCCAGGGGAAGGUUCGUCCGCCCUGGGUUAGUCGGGACCUAAGCUGAGGCCGAAAGGCGUAGGUGAUGGACAACAGGUUGAUAUUCCUGUACUACCGAUAACCGUUUGAGAGAAGGGAUGACACAGUAGGAUAAGCUAAGCACACUGUUGGUUAUGUGUGCCCAAGCAUUGAGGCAGUCAAAGUAGGCAAAUCCGCUUUGAUAAUGCUGGGAUGUGAUGGGGAGCGAAAUUUAGUAGCGAAGUAGCUGAUUUCACACUGUCAAGAAAAGUCUCUAUCGAGGUUAAAGGUACCCGUACCGCAAACCGACACAGGUGGGUGAGGAGAGUAUCCUAAGGCCAGCGAGAGAACUGUUGUUAAGGAACUCGGCAAAAUGACCCCGUAACUUAGGGAUAAGGGGUGCCACCAUCAGGUGGCCGCAGAGAAUAGGCCCAAGCGACUGUUUACCAAAAACAUAGGUUUCUGCUAAGUCGCAAGACGAUGUAUAGGAGCUGACGCCUGCCCGGUGCUGGAAGGUUAAGGGGAUCUGUUAGAGCAAUCGAAGCAGUGAACUUAAGCCCCAGUAAACGGCGGCCGUAACUAUAACGGUCCUAAGGUAGCGAAAUUCCUUGUCGGGUAAGUUCCGACCCGCACGAAAGGCGUAACGAUUUGGGCACUGUCUCAACAACAGACUCGGUGAAAUUGUAAUUCCGGUGAAGAUGCCGGAUACCUGCGACAGGACGGAAAGACCCCAUGGAGCUUUACUGUAGCUUGACAUUGGGUCUUGGUACUACAUGUACAGGAUAGGUGGGAGGCUUUGAAACCAGGACGCCAGUUUUGGCGGAGCCAUCCUUGGGAUACCACCCUUGUAGUACUGGGACUCUAACCAUAGGCCAUGAAUC